rnacentral:rRNA from 1 species
AAGACCUUGCGCUUUUGGAGCGGCCGAUGCCUGAUUAGCUUGUUGGUAAGGUAAAAGCUUACCAAGGCUUCGAUCAGUAGCUGGUCUGAGAGGACGGCCAGCCACACUGGGACUGAGACACGGCCCAGACUCCUACGGGAGGCAGCAGUGGGGAAUUUUGGACAAUGGGGGCAACCCUGAUCCAGCCAUGCCGCGUGAGUGAAGAAGGCCUUCGGGUUGUAAAGCUCUUUCAGCCGGAACGAAACGGUUACGGUUAAUACCCGUGAUUACUGACGGUACCGGAAGAAGAAGCACCGGCUAACUACGUGCCAGCAGCCGCGGUAAUACGUAGGGUGCGAGCGUUAAUCGGAAUUACUGGGCGUAAAGCGUGCGCAGGUGGUUUUGUAAGUCAGAUGUGAAAGCCCCGGGCUUAACCUGGGAACU